UCUGAUUUGCAUUGAAUUGAAUAAAUGUAGCCUAAUAGAAAUUAUUUGGGUCAAAACUUCAAUAUUCACCAAUAUUUAAUUUUGAUUUAAUUCAUCAGUAUCUUUCAUCGCCCUUCUUUGCAAAUUAAAUUUACUUUGAAACUCUGACCUUGAAUCCAAGUUUAACCUAAGAAAAUGAAACGUUAAACUACGCGUUAAAUGCGUGUUUUGACAUCCAAUUAUAGCAGCAACUUUCUUAUUUCAUUUAUCAUGACGGACGCCAGCGUUUACGCGACCAGUUUUGAUUGGAUAAAUAGAGCCCUGUAUAGCCAGAGAAUGAUACAGCUUAAAGUUGGUAUGAGAGGCGAAAAACUGGCUCGUAUAUAAAGUACAGAUUAUUCAUCUGUUUCGAUUUGUCUUGCUGUAGAAUUAUCGUUAUGCUAACAUCACGUCGAACCGCACACCAUCCUAUUCGACGACUCAUGCCUUUAAAACGUGGCAACAAUGCUCUAUGCUUGUACGUACUGACCGUUAGGGUGAUGUCUUAAACACAGUGAGACAAGAUGGCCUUUCACGUGCACGAUGGUAGGACGAUAAUAACUCUUCAAUAGUAACAACGUUAGCACGGAACUUUCCGUAUUUUUUUGUGAUCGAGCCUGGCAUUUCGAUGAUUUGUG